UCCCUGUUGGCUCAGCUGGUAAAGAAUCUGCCUGCAAUGCGGAAGACCUGGGUUCAAUCCCUGGGUUGGGAG
rnacentral:tRNA from 1 species